CAGGCAUCCACCUUGGACUUCCCCCUAGUUAGGGGCAGUGCACAAGAAGAUUAGCUUCAUGGAAUCCCUGCCCUCAGGGAGUGCAUCAUCUGGACAGGGAAACUGAGCUGGAAACAAGUCAUGUCUCUUAAUGUGUGGGAUGAGAACACAGAAGAUGGUAUGCACCCCAGCCAGAAGAUCAGAAUAGAUUUCCUGAAGGAGGCUAUGAUGCCUGAGCUGAAUUUUAAAGCUCAGCAGCAAAGGAAAGUGCAAAGAAGGCACCCGGAUAGAGAGGCCAAUAAGUGCUAUGACACGGAGACGUGAGCUGCAGGAAACCAGGCAAACGUGGAGAGGAAGCCUGUCCUCACAUUCCCUGGGGCUCCCAGGCUGGCCUGGAAUGCCUGUUCCACCCAAACCUGGUGAACUCCUCCUUGCUUCAAAAUUUCACUUGGCUGGGACUUAAUUAAACUAAAGAGCUUCUGCACAGCAAAGGAAACUACCAACAGAAUAAACAGACAACCUACAGAAUGGGAGAAAAUAUUUACACACUAUGCAUCUGACAAUGGUAUAAUAUCCAGAAUCUAUAAGAAACUUAAACAAAUCAACAAGCAAAAAACAAACAACCCCAUUAAAAAUGGACAAAGGAUGUGAAUAGAUACUUCUCAAAGAAGACAUACAAGUGGCCAAGAAGCAUAUGAAAAAAUGCUCAACAUUACUAAUCAUGACAGAAAUGCAAAUCAAAACUACAAUGAGAUACCACCUCACACCAGUCAGAAUGGCUAUUCCUAAAAAGUCAAAAAGUAACAGAUUCUGGCGAGGUUGCAGACAAAAGGCUAUGCUUAUAUACUAUUGAUGAGAAUGUAAAUUAGUUCACCCCCUGUUGAAAGCAGUUUGGAGAUUUCUCAAAGAACUUAAAACAGAACUACCAUUUGACACAACGAUCCCAUUAUUGAGUGUAUACCCAAAGGAAUAUAAAUGGUUCUGCCAUAAAGACAGAUGCACACAUAUGUUCAUCACAGCACCAUUCCCAGUAGCAAAGACAUGGAAUCAACCUAGGCACCCAUCAGUGUUGGAUUGGACAAAGCAAAUGUGGUAUAUAUACACGAUGGAAUACUACACAGCCAUAAAAAAGAACAAAAUCAUGUCCUUUGCCACAAUAUGGAUGCAGCCGAAGGCCAUUAUCCUAAGCAAAUUAAUUCAGGAACAGAAAAACAAAUACCACAUGUUCUCACUUAUAAGUGGGAGCUAAAUAUUGAGUACAUGUGGACACAAAGAAGGGAACAACAGACGCCAGAGCUGCGUGAGGGUGGAAGGUUGGAGGAGGGUAAGGAUAAAAAAAAUUACGUAUUGGGUACUAUGCUUAUUACCUGGGAAAGGAAAUAAUUUGUGCACCAAACCCCAGCAAUAGGCAGUUUACCCAUGUAACAAGCGUGUGUAUGUACCCCCAAAUCUAAACUAAAAGUUAGAAGGAGAAAAAGUUCUCUUGGCAUCACCUCCCCUCUAAAAUGUAUUUGGAUGGGAUGGCAGAUUUGCCAUCUUCCUUCCUGUUUCUCUAUUCCCUCAUGGGACCUUGAAUCAAUCUCUCCGUUUUACCUUCCUCUCUCUCUGUCUUUGACACACACACACACACACACACACACACACACACACACACACACAGCUCUUCAUUUAUUUGCCUAUUUACUUGCCUUCAUGUCAGUCUCCCUAAUGGGCUUCCUUGGAUGUUUUGAGGACAAUGCCAUUAUCUUCCUUAUUUCUCUAUUCCUGUUUUAAAAUUUGAGUCCCUGGAAUGUAACAGGUGCUCAAAAAUGUUUCUUAAGAAAGUGAAUAAAAGUA
rnacentral:lncRNA from 10 species